rnacentral:rRNA from 1 species
UACAGAGGUCCCAAGCGUUGUUCGGAUUCACUGGGCGUAAAGGGUGCGUAGGUGGUGGGGUAAGUCGGAUGUGAAAGCUCGGAGCUCAACUCCGAAAUGGCAUUGGAAACUACCCUGCUAGAGGGUCGGAGGGGGGACUGGAAUUCUCGGUGUAGCAGUGAAAUGCGUAGAUAUCGAGAGGAACACCAGUGGCGAAGGCGAGUCCCUGGACGACUCCUGACACUGAGGCACGAAAGCUAGGGGAGCAAAC